rnacentral:lncRNA from 10 species
CAAGAUAUUGUCUCCAGUGAUUAUGGAGGCCGAGAAGUCCCACGAUCUGCUGCCUGCAAGCUGGAAACCCAAGAAAGCCAGUAAGGGGCCGAUGGUGUAGAUUCUGUCUGAGUCUGAAGGCCUGAGAACCUGGAGUGCUGAGAGAAGACAAAUGUCCCAGCUCAUGCAGUCAGACAGCGGGAGGGCGAGUCCAACCUUCCUCUUUUUGUUCUGUUCAGGCCCUUAAAUGGAUGAGGCCCACCCGCUUUACUCAGUCCACAGAUUCAAAUGCUAAUCUCUUCCGGAACACAGACACACCCAGAAAUACUAUUUAAUCAGAUACCUGCUCGUCCUGUGGCCUAGUCAAGUUGACAUAUAAAAUUAACCAUCACACCACUCACAUGCUGAUGUCUCCCAGACGGAUCUCUCCAGCCCUACUCCUGAGCUCCAGACUCACAUAUCUGACUUCCUACUCAUUAUCUCCAUUUGAAUACACAACAGGCAUCUCAAAGCACAUUCCUG